CAUUUUUUAUGAUAAUAUUUUAUUUCGUAUAUAUGUUUAUAGGUUUAUUCGUAUCAACAAAUCUGUGUACGAGUUAAUAACGCAGCCUGGUUCCCUGCAUUUUCAGUGACAGAGAACCAGAAUAAGAUUGUAGGGAAACAAGCCUUGUUACAAGGUUUGAGGGUCUCUGCUAGAAUCAUGUGGACCCCAGUGUAACAAAUCUAUGGAAAGAGAGAAAAUCUCAGCUCAAGGGUCAACAUGUCUUUAUUCCAAGAAAGAGUGUACAUAUGCCAGAAUCAUAUGGACCGCAGACUGGCCCUGGUGAUUCCGUUAAGAA